GAUGAAGAACGUAGCGAAAUGCGAUAAGUAGUGUGAAUUGCAGAAUUCAGUGAAUCAUCGAAUCUUUCAACGCACAUUGCGCCCUUUGGUAUUCCAAAGGGCAUGCCUGUUCGAGCGUCAUUUGUACCCUCAAGCUUUGCUUGGUGUUGGGCGUCUUGUCUCUAGCUUUGCUGGAGACUCGCCUUAAAGUAAUUGGCAGCCGGCCUACUGGUUUCGGAGCGCAGCACAAGUCGCACUCUCUAUCAGCAAAGGUCUAGCAUCCAUUAAGCCUUUUUUUCAACUUUUGACCUCGGAUCAGGUAGGGAUACCCGCUGAACUUAAGCAUAUCAAUAAGCGGAGGA
rnacentral:misc_RNA from 1 species